GACGAACGCUGGCGGCGUGCUUAACACAUGCAAGUCGAACGGAAAGGCCCUGCUUUUGUGGGGUGCUCGAGUGGCGAACGGGUGAGUAACACGUGAGUAACCUGCCCUUGACUUUGGGAUAACUUCAGGAAACUGGGGCUAAUACCGGAUAGGAGCUCCUGCUGCAUGGUGGGGGUUGGAAAGUUUCGGCGGUUGGGGAUGGACUCGCGGCUUAUCAGCUUGUUGGUGGGGUAGUGGCUUACCAAGGCUUUGACGGGUAGCCGGCCUGAGAGGGUGACCGGCCACAUUGGGACUGAGAUACGGCCCAGACUCCUACGGGAGGCAGCAGGGGGGAAUAUUGCACAAUGGGCGGAAGCCGGAUGCAGCAACGCCGCGUGCGGGAUGACGGCCUUCGGGUUGUAAACCGCUUUCGCCUGUGACGAAGCGUGAGUGACGGGAAUGGGUAAAGAAACACCGGCUAACUACGU
rnacentral:rRNA from 1 species